rnacentral:SRP_RNA from 1 species
GCCGGGCAUGGUGGUGGGUGCCUGUAAUCCCAGCUACUCGGGAGGCUGAGGCAGGAGAAUUGCUUGAACUCAGGAGGUGGAGGUUGCAGUGAGCCGAGGUCACGCCACUGCACUCUAGCCUGGGCAACAAAGCAAGAUUUGGUCUCCA